rnacentral:rRNA from 1 species
UACGGGGGGGGCAAGCGUUGUUCGGAAUUACUGGGCGUAAAGGGCUCGUAGGUGGCCAACUAAGUCAGACGUGAAAUCCCUCAGCUUAACUGGGGAACUGCGUCUGAUACUGGAUGGCUUGAGUUUGGGAGAGGGAUGCGGAAUUCCUGGUGUAGCGGUGAAAUGCGCAGAUAUCAGGAGGAACACCAAUGGCGAAGGCAGCUCGCUGGGACGGUACUGACGCUGAGGCGCGAAAGCGUGGGGAGCAAACAGG